rnacentral:tRNA from 1 species
GGUGAGAUGGCCGAGCGGUCUAAGGCGCCAGACUAAGGAGACCAGGACAUCCGAUGUUCAACCCCGUUGCUCCUCGUUCUACGAGGGCGGCUAUCUGGUCCGAAAGGGCGUGGGUUCGAAUCCCACUCUCAUCA